rnacentral:tRNA from 1 species
CGCAUAGCUCAGCUGGUUUAGAGCACCUGCCUUACAAGCAGGGGGUCGGCGGUUCAAAUCCGUCUGCGCC